rnacentral:misc_RNA from 1 species
GCAAACUUGGUCAUUUAGAGGAAGUAAAAGUCGUAACAAGGUUUCCGUAGGUGAACCUGCGGAAGGAUCAUUAGAAAAACAAAAAAGGUCGAUUCCAAAACAAUAUGGAACGAUCAAAUCCAUAUCCACCUUGUGUGCACGCAUUGACCGUUUGCUUUGGCAGGAACAAAUAAAGCCUGCCAGAGUUUUUCCUUCUCAAACUCACGCGUCUAUCAUUUCUUUGGACUGAACCUUCGUCUCGAUUCUCUUAUAAUCGGUCGAAUCAAAUACAACUUUCAACAACGGAUCUCUUGGCUCUCGCAUCGAUGAAGAACGCAGC